UUAAAAAGACAGAAUCAAGUACUAUCACCCAAAAAAAAAAAUGUAUUAGCUAAAAUGGAAAAUAUUUGAAGCAAAUGGGCACCUUUCGUUGUGGGCUGGUUUCUCGGACCAGUUUACUUUUUCUAAUCCAUAAACAUUUUGUGGGCACAACGCACAAAGUCGAUCGCCGGUUCAAAACAGCAUAGGGGUUACAUUCUGUGAUGGUUGAUGCUUUCUGGGUAUCGGCAUCAUCGGCUCAACGCUCGCGAGUCGGCCCUCUUCAGGCUUCAGCUUCCUCACACGAUGGGUUCUCUCUUGCUCUGCUAAUAUGCUCCUUCCUUACACCUUUAGAGCUUCUCAUGCUCAUGCAAUUGCAUUCGAAGUUCCAACUUAACUGCAGGUGGCAGCCUCUUGAGAUGGAGUAACACGUUCUGCUUGGGCCUUGUACCACUAGAGGAAAGGAAUUUGAUCUGCAUUAAUGAAGUAAGAUUGGUGUUUAUUUGACAAAUAUUUCACCUACCUUAUGAAGCCAAUGUGACAUCACUCUGAGAUGAUUUCUCUAAGGUCCAGUUUCCUUGAUCCCAAAAUUCUUUGAAAUCUUAGCCAUUAUGGGAAACAGGGAUAUGACUCUCCAUUUUCUAAAAUUCUAGACAAAGAUACAGGUACAGUUAUCCCAUGUAAUGUGCUUAUAUCAUGUGUUUAUAUCUAGCUUUUGAAGCAAAAUGUCAUUUCUCAAGACUAUGGCUUUCCAAAUUUAAUUAAAUUUCUGACAUGUGCUCAUAUUUUUAUAGCAUAAUUUGUUAAUAUACUACUUUACAUAUUUUAACGGUGGUAAUGCUAUUGAGUACUUCAAAAAUAUCCAUGCAAUAUCCAGUAUUGUAUCUGAUAAGUAUCUGGUACACUAGGCAUGUACAGGUAUUAGGGUAUCAUAGAAUCUUUAGUGUUUUUUCUGAGAUUCCUGGUCUUGCUUCACCCAAAUUUAGAUAUUAGUUGGAUAAUGGGUGCAGAAUUUUGGUUUUUUCAAAGUCAUUAAUUUUUUUUUUGUUUUUUUCUUAGUAUUGACAUGAUAAAAAAACCAUGGUAAUCUCAAUGUUAUUUCCUUUAUGUUCUCAUAGGUUAGAAUCAGAUGCAUCAAACUUGUUAUUAUGCUGAUGUUGAUACAUUGGAUAAAAAAAUUCAAAAAUAGGUACAAAUUUUGAAUUGCUUACUAACACCCAAAGAAAAAGGGAAAUAAAAGAAAGAAGAGAAAAUUCUAUGCAUGCACUUGUCAUUACAUAUUAUGAUAAAAGCUUUAAGCUCCUGUAUUAAUGUAACUUGAAAUGUUGACAACAUGAUAAAUUCCUACUUACAUGUGUCAGAUUGUUCAGACUGUGAUAAGUUUUGAAUUGUGUGUUUUCUUCUCUGUAUUUUAAAUGUAAGUAUUAUGUAUGGUUUUUAUGCAUAAAAUCCAUGUUAAAGAGCCUUGGUUUGGGUAUAUGCAUAGAAAUCCAAUCUUUCUCAACAACUCAUUAGAGCGUUGUUCCAUUAGAGGGCACAACAAGAAUUCUGUUUCACCACUCCACUCUAAUAAUAAUGUCAUAUUUUCAUAACUGUAAGAACCAGAUCUGUUUAUCCAAAAUCCUUUUCAUAAUAAAUUAAAGAGAAUAUAAUUAAAAUAUAAAAAAUAUUAUAUCAUAAAGUAAAAGUUUAUAAGGAUCAGGUCAGAAAAUCAAAUAGAUGGAAGAUAAUUGAGGUUGUUAGUUUGGAAGUGUGAUCAAUUGUCAUUUCUCUUGGUAUUCUUGUUGUUUCCUCUUUAAUUGUAAUUUGUAAUUAAGAUGUGUUGUUUGUGGGGUUAAGGUUUGCUAUAUAAGAGCACCAAGGAUUUUUUUAAGCAUUUUUCUCAAUACUCCUUUAUGUUCUAUCUUUUAAGAUAUUUUUUUUUGUAAAAACUAUAGUAAGAAUGUUGAUAUCACUCAAAGUAGAAACUUAAGAAGAUGAAAAGCACACACAUCUUCAAAAUUUGGAUGGGCCAUCACCCAAUGCAAAAUAAGAUUUCCAAUAUCAGCAUAUGCCUUUUGCUCCCAUGCUUUUUAUCAAAAUUCUUCUCUCUCUCUCUCUAAAUUCCCAACACACUGAAGAGUGCCCCGAAAAAGUGUUACCUUCUUAUUACCUAAAAAAAUGGCCAAGCAAAGAAUAAAUACCUCCUGGGGAUGAAUAGGCCUGAAAACUGGUUUUCUAAACAGAGAAAAGAAUUAGUUAAAAAUAAAUUCAGCAAUUUUGCAAGAUAUCAAUAUAUGUACAACAUCUUUUCUAUUAUUGCACAUAAAACAAAAAAUUGUUCCUCAACCGUUUACUUUUUAAAUGAUAAAUGGUUCGACCAAAAAUCUUGGGUUGCAUGGACUCACUAAGAUGGGUCAACCAACUGGGUAUGGAUAUGGGUACAUAGGCACACUGCACAUUGGACAUAAAGUCUUUAAUUUCCGGUUAGGCAAGCAUGCUAUAUUUAAAACUAUGCUAAGUAGAAACUUCAAAAUCCUUCUAUAAUGUGUUGACUUCUGGGACAACUAACUCCCCUUCCCCUCAUAGGAAGAUUUGGCUUUCUGCUGUCCCCCCCUAGAAUUUGCUUCUUUGUUUGGGAGGCUUCUUGUGGCAGCAUUGAUACUUGUGAUAUGAUUUUAAGAAAGAGAAAAGGACACCUUUAUGUGGCUCCUCAUAUCUGUUGUAUAUGUGUAUGAAAGAUGGGGAGUCUUGUGGCCACCUUCUGAUUAAUUGUGGAAGUAGCCAGAAGCCUGUGGCAAUUCUUUUUGGACACCUUCUACAGAGGCAGAUUUCACUGGACCCCUCCUAACUCAGUGUCUGACCUUCUUUUACAAUGGCCUGGAUGUACGUCAAAUAAAAGAGGUGCUCUCUACGGAAAGGCGAUCAUGCAUGCAGUUUUCCGGUGCAUUUGGGAGGAGUGCAACAAAAGAAUUUUUUACGAUAAAAUACUCUUCCCUGGAUGAGUUAAAAGGAAGGGUGCUUUUUCGCAUUAACUCCUGGAUGAAGGUUUCUAGUAUGUCCAGGGGCAUUUCUAUGGGAGACGUAGAAAGAAAUUUGGGGCUGGUUCUGAGUUCCUCAAGUUUAGAUAGAGCUCACACAGUUCCUGUGACCCCGAAACCCCCUACAGAUUUUGUUCUCCAGUUUGAUGGUAGUUGCUUGAGUAGACUUAACCACAGAGGUCAGGCAGGAAUAGGUGGCAGAAUUCUCAUUUCAUUAGGCACUCAAUUUUGGGCCUAUAGUGGACCCAUUGAAGAGGCUGAAGCUGUUGAAGCUGAGGUGCAGGCCUUGCUGAUGGGGCUGAGGUGCGUAAAAUCCCUGAAUAUUUCUUCAGUGGUGGUGGAAGGAGAUUCAAAGGUGGUAAUAAGCUGGAUGUUAAAUCAGCAGGAGGGACCUUGGAGAUUCUCUCAUCAAAUCAAUGAAAUCAGGGUUAUCCAAUUGCAGCUUCACUGUGUCUUCAGGUGGAUUCCAAGGAAUUUGAACUCAAUAGCAGAUGCUCUUGCUAAAUCUGGGGUGGGCAGGGAUUUUUGGUACAGCAAUAUAGAGCUUCCUUUUUAAUGAGUAGGGAAGGCUUUUUGGUUUUUGUUUAGUUCCUGAUUGAUGUAUCUCUUAUAUAUCCUGUAUAUCCCUCCCCUUUCUUUUAAUGAAAGUUACCUUUUCUCAAAAAAAAAAGGCAUUGUACCUCUGCCUAACAUAUAUUUAAUCUGUGUUUUACGCUAUUAAUAUCCAAUAUAAGAAGCAUCAGCAAUAAAAGAGGAGCAACAAAAAAGCUAGUACUCAAAAGUAAUAAUUAUGCACAAGAAAUCUAUAGUGUCAGGUUAAAGAGACACCUGAUCACACAUUGGAUGUAUUCAAGUUUCAAUUUAUAAAACAGAAAUGCUAAUCGUACACACCCAUGGAGCGUUUAGCCCUUACAACACCUUCUAAAUAAGAUGUUGUCUUCUCUAGUUCAACAAUACCAAGGACUCCCUCACCCCCCCUUUCCAGGCAUGACAGGUGUCUUAUGUAGGGGGUGUUGUAAGUGCUACACAAUCAUAAAGCGUGUGAUAUUAGUAUUCCACUUUCUAAAAUGCAGCAGAUUCUAACAUUGUAAGUAUUUGUAUUUGGUGAGUAUCAAAAUGAAGGAGCCAGUACCUGUGUCUCAGUGUCUAAUACUGAACAGAAUCUGAUACAUCAUCUUGAGAAAAACUGAAUUGCAGAUAUGGUUGAUUGCAUACAUUGGAAAUAUCAGAAAUUUUUAUAACAUAACUUAAGAAUGCAAAUAGGAUCAGAUUAUUUAUGUGCAAAAAAAUUAUAUGCAUGGUAUAAAAGUCAGUUGAAAAUCAACUAACAUAUAGAAAAAAAAUAAGUUUUUUUUGUCUAUUAUGUCAACCUACGAAAACCUGAAUUGCAGUUACAGUUACAGUUAUUUCAACCUAAGAAAACCUGAACUGCAAAAUUUGAGAUUAAGGAGAUGGGGUGAGAAUCCAGAAACAAUAUCCAGACCUAUGGGACUUCUAUUGGAAGGGUAUUGAAAAGGUUUAUCCAGCGUCUAAUAGGGGAAUUUAGUAUAAGGUUUGUAAAGGGGAUAGAAUUGGAUUUUGGAUUGACAGGUAGUGCAGCCUGUGACCUAGUGUUCUAAUUGCAGAAGAAACUUAAAUGAUUGGAAAAUGGAGCAGAUGGUGGAGCUCUUAAAAGAAUUCAGAGCAUUUCACCAGAAGUGGGACACCUGGAUUCGAGUAGAUGGUGGUGGGAGAAAAGUGGGGCUUUCAUUGUAAAGUCAUUCUACAAUAAUCUCUUUCAAGAGGUAAACUAUGAGUUUCCAGCAAAUAGAAUUUGUUCUUCUGGUGCUACUUCAAAGAUCAAGUUUAUUGUCUGGACUGCAGUACUAGGAAAAUGCUUAUCUCAUGACAAACUCUUAAGCAGGGGAAUGAUGUGGAUUAGGUGGGAUGUGUAUUUUGCACAAAGAUGCUGGAAUCUGCAAAUGACAUUUUUUUCAUUGCCCACAUGCAACAGAAGUGUGGAGGACUGUUCUGAAUACUUUCGGGUGGAAUGGGUGCUUCCCUCAGUCCAUUCAAGGUUUUCUUUUGGGUUGGCAGAUCCAUGGUUUGAGCAAAAGGGGAGGGUGAUAUGGGGGUUGAUUACAUUGGCAGUGUUUUGGUGCAUAUGGAAGGAUAGAAAUGCUGUGACAUUUGAAAAAUCCAGCAAGUAUUCCUUCAGAUUUGAUAGGGAGUAUCAAAAGGAAGCUUUGGUGUGCAGCGAAUAAGAAGUUUAGAGGCCUGGCUUAUAAUCAGUUUUUUGACAGUCUUAUGCAGAUCUGACAAGGAUGUUUUGAUCAAAAGAUAUCUUGCUAACAGAAUUGUAAAGGUUGAUGUACAGAAUGAAAAUACAUGGCAUACAUGUAUAGAAGGAUUGUAAAAGUUUAACUUUCUUUUUGGUUAUUAAUACAAUACAUUACUUUUUUCAAAAAAAAAAAAGAACAAAGGAUAUUCAGAAAAUUAAAUAUUUGUAUAGAUUAAAGCAUCAGGAUGUGUCUGGCAUGCAAGUAUGGAAUGGUACAUAGACAGAGUUCAAGAAAUGUUGCUCCUUACAUAGAUAACAACUAGAUAUUUUGAAAUAUUUCAGUCUUCAGUGGCAUUUGAUGGACUAGUGAAACAGCCAAAAGUUUCCAGAUGCAAACUGCAGUAUUCAAUCAAAUAAUCUAAUCUAAUAAGUUAUCCAGCUUUAACAAUUCUUUGAAGUGGAGGUUUCAAAUUAAAUUAUUUUUUCCAGAUUGUUUUGAUUUUUGUGCUCUGUAUGUAUGAUGAUGGAUUUAUAGGUUAUACUAUCUGAUACAGCAUUGAGUGAUUAGUUAAGGGCUUUCCCACCCUUAAAAAUAUGAAAUAGAGAGGUAUUAAAUGACAUUUUUUUUUAUAUCUUUGAGAUGCUACUUAAGUGUUAAAAUGUAGAAGCUUAACUAAAACAUAGGAGGUGAUCCAAAAUCUCUCAUUGAGAACUAUUCUGUGUGUUGGAAAUACAAGUUCAUGAUUCUGUUUGAAUAACCAUUGCUUUGUGGAAGGGUAUAUAGAUGUAAGAGUGUCUUUGGCAUUCUCAUUGAGAGAGACAAGACAACAUAUGUAUUUAGUGAUGGGUCAUGGCAUGUCAUUACUGAACUUUAAUUUUUAUGUGAAAAGGUCAGUUGCUGCAAGAAAGGGUUGUUGCCCAACAUGCUGAGAACAAGGGUACCUCACUACUGAGAUUUCUGUAGUUCUUAUUAUAUGGGUUCUGACCCUUAACCUUAUAAUCUUCAAUUUUAUUGUCAAAACAAAAUGGUUUGGGCAUGAUUGGGCAUUAUGUGCCAUUAAUAGCUCUUUAAUUCAGGAUAUAACCUAGCAUCAGAUCAUCUUUGACCACAACCAUUAAUGGCAGUACUAUAGGGGCUGGAAAUUGAACUGCUCGUAUAAAUCACUCCAUUAUCUUUUAUCAUUCUUUAUGGAGUGUCUUCACAUGUUU